GCCAUGAGUCAACACAAAAUAGUUCAUCACACAGGGUACAAGUUACCAUCAGGCCUAGGAGCUGCCAGUUUGUGCAGGCGCCCCUCCAGGUUUGCGUGGCGCAGCCUGACAGGCUGUGGGGUGGCACGCUUGGUUUCGAGAAAGUGUCCAUAUUGGGUAUUUUGAAUGGCAUGCGUGGCCUGGCACAAGCAGGUGAGCCCUGCUGAAACCGGACACGGUCUGCCCACAGGAGCGACUGGAAAGGAGAGGUGAUUUAAUGGGGCACGUUGAGAUAGGUUGAUCCACUGUUGGACGAUGUUCUUGAGCGAUGAUUGCCCUAGGAAGUGACAUAAGGACUUUCCAUCAGGUUGGAUGUCAUCGUGGGCAACACAGCGUCAGUGACUUCCCUUGAAGUGACAGACUCACUCUGUUCAGUGUGGAGGGAAUGCCGGCCAAGUACGCGAGUCGAAGGCUUUGAGAACCAUGGAGUGAUCCGGGAGGUCAGUCAGGGCGUCACUUGAGCCCAGGGACCAGAAAGGGGACCCCGCCGGAGCUGGGUGCCGGUUGUGUGCAGGGCCCUGCAUGAGGCCUUUGGUGAGGGCCAAGUGCUGCGAGCGGCAGACGGCGCCUGGCACGUUGACCGUUGCUCAGGACCCAGCAGGAAGCCCUCUGUUGGUAAGAGGCCUACCUCACGGUCACUCUGCGGAGCUUCUGUCUGGGGACGUGGGGCCUCGGCCAGCCCUGCUCCCGGGAUCCAGUGUAAACAAGGCCGGUGAGCGCCCAGAGGUCAGAAGCUGGGAACAGACACCCACAGCCAGCUCUUCACGAACAAGAGGCCUUAUUUUUAUGCGGUUGCCGCACCCUCUGCCAAGAAAGUGGGGAGGGCAUUAAAAAGGCUGAUUUUGUAGUA